rnacentral:rRNA from 1 species
AGUGAACGCUGGCGGUAGGCCUAACACAUGCGAGUCGAACGGCAGCACAGUAAGAGCUUGCUCUUACGGGUGGCGAGUGGCGGACGGGUGAGGAAUACAUCGGAAUCUACUUUUUCGUGGGGGAUAACGUAGGGAAACUUACGCUAAUACCGCAUACGACCUACGGGUGAAAGCAGGGGAUCUUCGGACCUUGCGCGAUUGAAUGAGCCGAUGUCGGAUUAGCUAGUUGGCGGGGUAAAGGCCCACCAAGGCGACGAUCCGUAGCUGGUCUGAGAGGAUGAUCAGCCACACUGGAACUGAGACACGGUCCAGACUCCUACGGGAGGCAGCAGUGGGGAAUAUUGGACAAUGGGCGCAGCCUGAUCCAGCCAUACCGCGUGGGUGAAGAAGGCCUUCGGGUUGUAAAGCCCUUUUGUUGGGAAAGAAAAGCAGCAGGUUAAUACCCCGCUGUUCUGACGGUACCCAAAGAAUAAGCACCGGCUAACUUCGUG